rnacentral:rRNA from 1 species
GACGAACGCUGGCGGCGUGCCUAAUACAUGCAAGUCGAGCGAAUCUGAGGGAGCUUGCUCCCAAAGAUUAGCGGCGGACGGGUGAGUAACACGUGGGCAACCUGCCUGUAAGACUGGGAUAACUUCGGGAAACCGGAGCUAAUACCGGAUAAUUCUUAUCAACACAUGUUGGUAAGCUAAAAGACGGUGCAAGCUGUCACUUACAGAUGGGCCCGCGGCGCAUUAGCUAGUUGGUAAGGUAAUGGCUUACCAAGGCAACGAUGCGUAGCCGACCUGAGAGGGUGAUCGGCCACACUGGGACUGAGACACGGCCCAGACUCCUACGGGAGGCAGCAGUAGGGAAUCUUCCGCAAUGGACAAAGUCUGACGGAGCAACGCCGCGUGAGUGAUGAAGGUUUUCGGAUCGUAAAACUCUGUUGUUAGGGAAGAACAAGUACGAGAGUAACUGCUCGUACCUUGACGGUACCUAACCAGAAAGCCACGGCUAACUACGUGCCAGC